rnacentral:lncRNA from 1 species
UGAUAAUCAAAUAAUACAGAAUGAGAAUCCUGUAUGUUGAAAGAAACCUUGAUAGCUUAUUCCAAAUGUGACCACAGUGUUGGUUUAGUGAACUCAGUACACGCAGAUCGUGAAGUUAUUAGGGGAUUACUGCUAUGAAAAUUGCUGUGUCAUGAAUGCCUCUCUGUCAGCACAGGUUGGCUUGAUGAGACCUGCCUGACAAGGUGGUCAUUAAAUCCUAACAGGCAGCUACUGAGCCUGAAACACCUUGGGGCAAUAGGCUGGCUGAGGCCUUGGUGAUCAAGGGGGUUUGGGUCUACAGCUGUGGGCAAUUUGCCAAAGGCUGAGACAGAAGGCAAGUGUUAGGAGAAGAGGUUAUAAACAGAGUGAAGCCUGAUAGAGAUAGUAAGUGUUUAAUGAGAGAGAUGAGUGAGGGGUUGAGUUUAAAUCCAGGAGUAAGGUACUUGGGGUGUGUUUAAGAUGCUUAGAGCAAUCACCUUAGAGUUUAGAGAAUCUGUGGGUGUCCCAGAGAGGGGUUGGUGAGGUGGUGCAAAUCCCAUGCUCUGAAAAUGCUAUUCUUUGAUCUUUUAGAUGCAUUUCUAUAGUUGGGAAGAUACAACUUGUUUCUGAGAUCCUGUACUGUGAGAACUUUUCACGUGGAGUAUGUGCAAGGGAGGGUGCCAGUCUGCAGAACUGUGAAGACAGUAAAAUGCAAUUUAUACUCUUGCAAGAUAAUUGCUUAUAAUAUCAAACAUAAAACCAUUUCAAGGCUGGGAAAUGUGAGAAAAAGAUUCUUUACACUCUUGGUGGUGCUCAAAAGUGACCUACAAUCUGGUCCAACCAAAAGCGAAGUUGGGCGCAUCUGCAAGCACAUUACUGAAUAUCUUUGUUGCCUGGUUUUCUCCCAGGCUCCACUUUGGAGUAAGCCAGCUAUUUCCUUUCAAGAGGAGACCUAGAUACAGUUAACAUGAUAAUUUGUUCCAGGGUCUGUUCCUGACAGGCUGUAUGGAUGCAGCCCACGUCAAUGUUGACUCUUUCCAUCUAGGACAUUCCUCCUACAUUAUCCCAUGCGGUAAUGCAGCACAUAUCCGUGGUGUCAUGCUAUGAAAAACACAGCUGUACCAGACUGCAUCACAAUCCUCACUUUAUUUUAGGCAUCGUGAACUGGAAAAUGAUGACAAGUACUUAGCCUACCCUUGACCUAAAGGAAUCCCUACAGGAGUGGGAUGCCUUUAAUUUAUAGCCUCAGCCAGUACAUCCUGGGGAGCCUGGUGAGGUCAGUGCUGGCUGUUCUGUUGUGCCUUUAAAUGCUGAGAUUUCUCAGAUAUUAACACAGGAGAGAUUCUGUGAGACCACUUGGAGAAUGUAAGGUGAAUAAAGUCUUCAUCUAUUGGUAUAUCCUUUGUUCA